rnacentral:rRNA from 1 species
GGUUAAGCGACUAAGCGUACACGGUGGAUGCCCUGGCAGUCAGAGGCGAUGAAGGACGUGCUAAUCUGCGAAAAGCGUCGGUAAGGUGAUAUGAACCGUUAUAACCGGCGAUGUCCGAAUGGGGAAACCCAGUGUGAUUCGUCACACUAUCGUUAACUGAAUACAUAGGUUAACGAGGCGAACCGGGGGAACUGAAACAUCUAAGUACCCCGAGGAAAAGAAAUCAACCGAGAUUCCCCCAGUAGCGGCGAGCGAACGGGGAGCAGCCCAGAGUCUGAAUCAGCUUGUGUGUUAGUGGAACGGUCUGGAAAGUCCGACGGUACAGGGUGAUAGUCCCGUACACCAAAAUGCACAGGUUGUGAACUCGAAGAGUAGGGCGGGACACGUGGUAUCCUGUCUGAAUAUGGGGGGACCAUCCUCCAAGGCUAAAUACUCCUGACUGACCGAUAGUGAACCAGUACCGUGAGGGAAAGGCGAAAAGAACCCCGGCGAGGGGAGUGAAAAAGAACCUGAAACCGUGUACGUACAAGCAGUGGGAGCACCUUCGGGUGUGACUGCGUACCUUUUGUAUAAUGGGUCAGCGACUUAUAUUCUGUAGCAAGGUUAACCGUAUAGGGGAGCCGCAGGGAAACCGAGUCUUAACUGGGCGUUAAGUUGCAGGGUAUAGACCCGAAACCCGGUGAUCUAGCCAUGGGCAGGUUGAAGGUUGGGUAACACUAACUGGAGGACCGAACCGACUAAUGUUGAAAAAUUAGCGGAUGACUUGUGGCUGGGGGUGAAAGGCCAAUCAAACCGGGAGAUAGCUGGUUCUCCCCGAAAGCUAUUUAGGUAGCG